UCAACAGAAACAACUCGGUGUUUCCAUAAAGUCCAGAUCUUAACUAGAUUCUCUUCUCAAAAUUUUCUAGUGUGGCUCUUGUAUUUCUUCCUAUCCUAAUCUAAUUAGGACUCCAAAAAUUCUGUAAUGGAAGAUGAGAGUCCUACUCAUGCUGUCCAGUUUUUUCAUGGUGAUCUAACUGUGAAUUGAUCAAGGAUAAAGAAGAAGGAGAUUUCAGAAAUUCUGCGUUCAAGUCAAGUUCCUCCCAUAUGCAUUCAUGUUGAAUUGACAAAGGUAGAAGCUGUUGUUGUCCAUUGUUGCUGCUGUGUUAAUCAAGAUGGUUCUUAUGCAAAUAGGCUGCUGAAUCAUAGUUGAAAGACAACAUACAGAUCUGGAUUUCAAUUUGUCUUCAUUAUGCAAGAUUGGAUUUAUGCAAUGUUGAACCGAAAAUUUCCAGUGCUGAAAGCUCAUCAAUUAAUUGAAGAACCUUUUAUGUUCUGUUGUCCCUACUGCUGCCACGAACAUACAUACUAUUGUUGCUGGUACCAUGAUUGAAUGAGGGUAUAUCUGAAAUUGAAGUGCUGCCAUCUUUAAUUUAGAUAUGUGGAGGAAGUUAUUGGUUGUUGUUUGAAGUCGCCUAAAAGACAUCUUGUCUGAGAAGGUGUGCAUGGAUUGAAGAGCAAAAAAUCAAAGUGGAUUCAUUAUUUGAUUUCUAUUGAAUGUAAGUCUAUUAUUGGGUUGCGAGUAGACUUGAUGUUUUAGGGUUUUUUUAUUGUAAACCUAUGUUUAUUGGUGAUUGGUUGUAAACGUUGUUGCGUGGGUGCAUGACAACUGUAAUUGAGGUUGUAGCUCCAAAUACAGUGGGUAUUGUGCUGAAUUUUGUAAAGAGGUCAGUGCUCCUGUGUCAUGGGUGCGAUACGAAUUGGGGUUGGUGCUCCUAAUUGUGGGUGCAGUCGAAUUAUCAAGACCGGAUUUGAGUUGUAGCUCAAACGGUCAUUUGCUUUGUGGAUGUUGGCACACUACCGAACCACAUA